rnacentral:rRNA from 1 species
UACGGGAGGCAGCAGUGGGGAAUAUUGCACAAUGGGCGAAAGCCUGAUGCAGCUAUGCCGCGUGUAUGAAGAAGGCCUUAGGGUUGUAAAGUACUUUCAUCGGGGAGGAAAAAACAAAACUAAUAAUUUUAUUUCUUGACGUUACCCGAAAAAGAAGCACCGGCUAACUCCGUGCCAGCAGCCGCGGUAAUACGGAGGGUGCUAGCGUUAAUCAGAAUUACUGGGCGUAAAGAGCACGUAGGUGGUUUUUUUAAAGUCAGAUGUGAAAUCCCUGGGCUUUAACCUAGGAACUGCAUUUUGAAACUGAAAUACUAGAGUAUCGUAGAGGGAGGUAGAAUUCUAGGUGUAGCGGUGAAAUGCGUAGAUAUCUGGAGGAAUACCUGUGGCGAAAGCGGCCUCCUAAACGAAUACUGACACUGAGGGUGCGAAAGCGUGGGGAGCAAACAGGGAUUAGAUUCCCGU